rnacentral:lncRNA from 1 species
AAGGUUUUUUUUUUUCCAACGGGUCUUAUACAAUGAAUAUCUGAAUUAGUUGGGUCUUAAUAACCAAAUACCAAUUAUGUAAAUUUUUCCAAAAAAGAGUAAAUGUAGAAAGGUCAGCACAAAUGAUUGAAGCAAGACAACCACAAAGAGGGUUGCAUUUGAUCAAUUAAGGUCCCUACCUCAGAUUUAUGUGGUAGAACAAUAUUGUCUUCUCAACCAACAAACCUUUGUCUGUUUGUCUCCCUGUACCACAGUAUAUAUGCGGACUUAGAUCAUUAGAAUUUAGUUCCUUCCCAGUUAUUCCCUUUCAUAUAUUUAACUCCUUUUUAAAAAAGUUUUAGGACCACUUCCCCCACUAAAUUGUCUAUACGUCCCAUUAUUUUCACUCAUUGAAGACCUCUACUGUUGUACCUUUUUGUUUUCUUUCUUAAAGCUGCUCUCUUGUAGCCAACCUUCACUGACACUUCCAUUAAAAUGGUUGAUUUCUUUGGUUGCUUUGAAUUCCCCUUGUUUUUUCCCUAAGGGGUAAUAAAAGUAUGACAGCUUCUACCAGUACUAUUGAUACUUACUGGGAAAAAAAGAACGAGAAAUUAAGAAUGCUCGACUGAUUGACAAAUAAAUAGAAGAAAGUAGUCUACCUCUUAAGUAUUAUAUAUAAAAAAUGUGAUAUUUCAUCUAUAAAAAUGAAGAUCUGUCGUAGAGACCAUAAAACUUAAAAUACUGUGUCGUGCUAUAUAUGAAAAUUCUUGUAACAAUUUGUAUUGCUUUUAGAUAACAUCAAUAGCUUAAUUGUCGCUAAAAUUAUAUUUUUAGAGUUAAUUAUUGAUGACAAUUACACUUUAACGCACUUCGUAAAUAUCCUUAGAGCCUAUAAUAACAUUGAAUUCAACUCGGUGAAAGCUUUGAUACUCUAUGUUAAAAUAUAUAUUUAUUACAACUAAAAAUCUUUAUUGUGCGUCGUUUGGUUGGGAAAUAGUUAUCUCGGGAUAAUUAAUUUCGGGAUUAGUUAUCCUGGGAUAAUAUAUCCCACUAUGCAUAUGGGAUAAGUUAUCCCGGGAUUGACGACUCCCUUCAACCAAAUCAUUUUAUCUCGGGAUUACUUAUCCCUUAUACCUCACACCAAAUAAUGUUUAGAUUAUACUAUACUAACACGUAAUAUUAAUAAUGGAUUGAGAGAAUCUCAACUAUUAGCCUUUCUAUUUUUGUGAGUGUCUUGUCAUGCAAUCGAGAAUGAGUACGUUCAAUUUUAGAGUUCCAAAGAGUCCAAACAAUAUAAAUCACGUAGUAUUAGAUGAGAAUGGAC